UUGGUGUGAUAAGAAGAGAAUGAAUAUCACUCAAGAAUACAAUAUUUUAAUUUUAGAAUCGUUUAAGGUAUUGUUUAUGUUCAAUGAUAUUUAUUUAUCAAUGAAGUAUAAAAUAAUACUGGCCUGUAUUAUUUAUUCGUACUAAUUAAAGUAUGUAUUAGUAUAAGUUACUUAUAAAGUCUUAUACAUAAAUUAUUAAAAUCUUGAAUUUACUACAUCAUGUUUUGUUUAAAAAAUCAUAAAUAAAAAUUUUACUAGCAUUAUAUACAACUUUCUUGAUAAUUUUCAGAAGAAAAAUGUUGAUUGCAAUCACGCAUGCGUGAUAAAACGAAAAUUUAUAGUUCCUAUAUACAAUACUGUUUCCUUGUUACUCAUGUAUGAUUGUAAUGCAGUGAAGACCGACGCAUUGCUUGUAUGCAAACGGUCGAAAUGCAACAACCGGAGAAUUAAUUGUUGUGUAUAAUAUCGUGUAUUUUCGAAAAAUAGUAAUGAGUUGUAAUGAUUGUACAUCCUAAAUUUGUUUCUCUAAUAAUUAAAAUUACAUUUCUCUUUUUUUUCGUAGAAUAUUCGAAUUCGAACAUCUGUCAGUGCAAAACAACGUGUAAAUACAUGUAACAUUUAUAUUUUAUUGAUUUCAAAUAAACUUCAACUGGCACAAAGCACCCUUAAUUUUAUAGUUUUUUGCAAUUGCAUAUAGUUACGAGAGAAGUGAAAUGGAUCUCGAUUUCAUUUGUGAAUAAAGUCACAAUUAUAUUUCAGCACAUGCUGUUUCACAUUUUUAUGCAUUAGUAAUUUUACAUAUAAUGCUUUUACUUAAGUGCAUCUAUUCUGUAAUUUGUACUUAAUCCAUUACUAGGACUGUUCAAUGAAGUAUUUUUGCGAAUAUUGUAGUGGUAAAUAUUUUAGUACAAAUUUGUUUGUAAGAGAAUGAUUUUAGAUACUAUACUAUAAUGUUAUCAUAAGAUGAACAUGAAUAAUAAGAUAUGUUUGGUUCAUUUAAUCAUACAAUUUUAAGCAUGUUAUAAUAGGAUUAUGUAGAAAUAUAGUAUGUCAUCCAAGCCUGCACGCACAGAAUCAUUUAAAGGAGACUGCAUGAAACGUUCCUACAGAGGAUCCAGAAAAAAAAUGCUGUGUUUGGCUGAACUUGUUUGUAGGCCUAACAAUAUAAUUUUUAUGCAAAUGGUAUGUCUUAAAUUAAAUAAUAAUGUAUUUAAAACUUCCACAAGAAGGCCAACAAAGAAAAAGGCACAAUGAACUUUUAUAUCGAUAUGGAUAUUUUUUGUCAAUGCUGUUAUGUAUGAUAUUCGCAUCUAUUAGACCACACUUGGGUAAAACAAAUGGGGUUUUUAAUGGGAAUAUUAUAAUUCGAUAUUUUGCUGUGCCUUUAACAUACCUAGAAGCAGGGUUGAUAUGUGAUCCUAAAUCACUGUACUUAACAUUAAGCAAUGCUCCUCUUUUGAUAUUUACAAUGACUUUUAUUUAUGUGUUAAUGCCCUUUUUGAUGAGAUUGGGAGUAUGCCUAUUAACUUAUGCAAAUGUCAAUGUGUGGCUACUGAAAGGAAUGGAAGUACUUUACUGUAUGCCACCUCCAUUUAAUACAAGCAUUGUUUUAUGUCGAUUAGCACAAGCAGACUUAUCAACAAGUAUUGUAAUAACUUUAGUUUCUCAUUUUGGAGGAUUGUUUAUUUCUCCUGUACUAUUGUACUUUGUGCUAGGAGCAUCUACACCUCCCUUAGUUGGUGUAAAUGUCAAAGAAACUAUUUACAGUACAAUUAUACCAUUAGCCAUUGGUAUUGCAGUCCAAGUAUAUAUUUUAAAAUAUGAUUUCUGUUUUAAAAUUAAAUCUCCAUGGUUUUCUCAAGGAUUGUUAUUGGCUACAGCAUAUCACUGGUUCUGUGAUGCUGUUUCAGUGGACGCGUCAUCCCUGCAAGCUAGUGAUGUGUUAUCAUGCAUUGUAAUUGCUUGCGUGGGACAACUAUUUGUUAGCUGCUUGUGUUGGAUAUUGUGCUCUCGAUGGUUACCUCGGGACAUCUUACUAGCUGCACUUUUUACGAGUACUCACAAGUCAGUUGGUCUUGGCAGCUGGGUUUUACGUGGUGCUUACCAUGGUUCAGCUCAUGGUCCAGCAGUGAACUUACCAUUGUCUAUUCUACCAGUUGCACAAUUAUUGUUAGGUAGUUUGUUAGCUAGUUGGCUGUCCCCAUAAUAUGUUAUGUGGGUAAUAUAAAUAACUUCAUGUUCAUUUCUUUUGUUUUCUGUUAAAAUUGAGUGCAUGUUUUGUAUUUAGUUUUCAACAUUGAUGUUUUAGUUGAUGUGUAACUAUAUUACUCUUAGAAUCAAUACUAAAAGUUAACGUUAUUCCUUAUAGCAAUUUCAAAUUGAAGACAUUUAGUGUUUCAUCAUGUGUUAGUAAAUCAUGAAGUAAUAAACAGAAUUUUGAACAAAAAAUUGACAGGACUUCUAUGAAAUAAUUUCUAUUUAUUUCUGUUUAAUAUAACAAAUAAAUCGUUUGAACUUCAUUCAUACAGAGUCUUUUUAAAAUACAGUUCCAUAGCAUCCAAUAUUAUAAAAAAAGUUAUAUUUUCAUAAUUUCAUUUAUUACACUGCACAGUUGCCUUAGAAGCUAGUAUCAAAAUUCCAAAUUGAAGAAGACAAGACGAAAAUUCUUACUAAAACAGAUCAAGAUUUUGAAGUCUUUAAAAAGUGGAACACUUAACAGAAUACUGGGAACAAUCUUUAAAUAGUACAUCAAGUAAAAGUAGAAAAAAGAGAAAGAAAAACCAAAAAAAAUUACACUACUUCGAAGCGAUGUACGCUAUUAUCUUAUGUAAUAAUUAUUAUAAUAAAUUGUAUUUGUAUCUUACAAGUUAUAAAUAUAGUUUCCUCACUUUCGAUUGUAAAA